UGGGGAAUUUUGCGCAAUGGGCGAAAGCCUGACGCAGCAACGCCGCGUGGGUGAUGAAGGUCUUCGGAUCGUAAAACCCUGUCGUCGGGGACGAAGGUGGAGGGGUUAAUAGCCUCUUUGCUUGACGCUACCCGGAGAGGAAGCCCCGCCUAACUCUGUGCCAGCAGCCGCGGUAAUACAGAGGGUGCAAGCGUUAUUCGGAAUUAUUGGGCGUAAAGGGCGCGUAGGCGGCUUUUUAAGUGAGAUGUGUAAUCCCUGAGCACAACUUGGGAACUGCAUCUCAUACUGGGAGGCUAGAGUAAUGGAGAGGGUGGUAGAAUUCCACGUGUAGCGGUGAAAUGCGUAGAGAUCUGGAGGAAUACCAGUGGCGAAGGCGGCCACCUGGACAGUAACUGACGCUGAGGCGCGAAAGUGUGGGUAGCGAACAGG
rnacentral:rRNA from 1 species